GACGAACGCUGGCGGCGUGCCUAAUACAUGCAAGUCGAACGCUUCUUUCCUCCCGAGUGCUUGCACUCAAUUGGAAAGAGGCGUGGCGGACGGGUGAGUAACACGUGGGUAACCUACCCAUCAGAGGGGGAUAACACUUGGAAACAGGUGCUAAUACCGCAUAGCAGUUUAUGCCGCAUGGCAUAAGAGUGAAAGGCGCUUUCGGGUGUCGCUGAUGGAUGGACCCGCGGUGCAUUAGCUAGUUGGUGAGGUAACGGCUCACCAAGGCCACGAUGCAUAGCCGACCUGAGAGGGUGAUCGGCCACACUGGGACUGAGACACGGCCCAGAAUCCUACGGGAGGCAGCAGUAGGGAAUCUUCGGCAAUGGACGAAAGUCUGACCGAGCAACGCCGCGUGAGUGAAGAAGGUUUUCGGAUCGUAAAACUCUGUUGUUAGAGAAGAACAAGGACGUUAGUAACUGAACGUCCCCUGACGGUAUCUAACCAGAAAGCCACGGCUAACUACGUG
rnacentral:rRNA from 1 species